CUUUUGCUGGCGACCGGCGCACGGGUGAGUAACACGUAUCCAACCUGCCCUUUACUCGGGGAUAGCCUUUCGAAAGAAAGAUUAAUACCCGAUAGCAUAAUGAUUCCGCAUGGUUUCAUUAUUAAAGGAUUCCGGUAAAGGAUGGGGAUGCGUUCCAUUAGGUUGUUGGUGAGGUAACGGCUCACCAAGCCUUCGAUGGAUAGGGGUUCUGAGAGGAAGGUCCCCCACAUUGGAACUGAGACACGGUCCAA
rnacentral:rRNA from 1 species